GCAUUGGUGGUUCAGUGGUAGAACUCUCGCCUGCCACGCGGGAGAUCCAGGUGCGACUCCCAGCCAAUGCA
rfam:Danio rerio chromosome 4, GRCz11 reference primary assembly.